UAACACGUGGAUAACCUACCUAUAAGACUGGGAUAACUUCGGGAAACCGGAGCUAAUACCGGAUAAUAUUUUGAACCGCAUGGUUCAAAAGUGAAAGACGGUCUUGCUGUCACUUAUAGAUGGAUCCGCGCUGCAUUAGCUAGUUGGUAAGGUAACGGCUUACCAAGGCAACGAUGCAUAGCCGACCUGAGAGGGUGAUCGGCCACACUGGAACUGAGACACGGUCCAGACUCCUACGGGAGGCAGCAGUAGGGAAUCUUCCGCAAUGGGCGAAAGCCUGACGGAGCAACGCCGCGUGAGUGAUGAAGGUCUUCGGAUCGUAAAACUCUGUUAUUAGGGAAGAACAUAUGUGUAAGUAACUGUGCACAUCUUGACGGUACCUAAUCAGAAAGCCACGGCUAACUACGUGCCAGCAGCCGCGGUAAUACGUAGGUGGCAAGCGUUAUCCGGAAUUAUUGGGCGUAAAGCGCGCGUAGGCGGUUUUUUAAGUCUGAUGUGAAAGCCCACGGCUCAACCGUGGAGGGUCAUUGGAAACUGGAAAACUUGAGUGCAGAAGAGGAAAGUGGAAUUCCAUGUGUAGCGGUGAAAUGCGCAGAGAUAUGGAGGAACACCAGUGGCGAAGGCGACUUUCUGGUCUGUAACUGACGCUGAUGUGCGAAAGCGUGGGGAUCAAACAGGAUUAGAUACCCUGGUAGUCCACGCCGUAAACGAUGAGUGCUAAGUGUUAGGGGGUUUCCGCCCCUUAGUGCUGCAGCUAACGCAUUAAGCACUCCGCCUGGGGAGUACGACCGCAAGGUUGAAACUCAAAGGAAUUGACGGGGACCCGCACAAGCGGUGGAGCAUGUGGUUUAAUUCGAAGCAACGCGAAGAACCUUACCAAAUCUUGACAUCCUU
rnacentral:rRNA from 1 species